UGCUUGGCAUAUAAAUUAUGGAUUCUGUUUGUUCUUAUUGUAUUUCCUGUGCUGGAGUUUAAAUAUCUAGCUAAUGAUAGGUCAAUUCACAGAUUGGUAUUGAUCAUUCUGGAACAUAAAACAUUCCUAAAAGCCUUGAGACAUCUCAGGAGACUUUUGCUGUCCCCAAGACCCUUCAGAAGUCGUAUCAGGCUUUUGCUGCUCCCAUCCGCCUUCAGAAAUAUCAAGAGAAUUUUGCCGGCCCCAAGUGCCCGGAGAAGAAGCAUCAACAGGCUUUUUCUCCCCCCAAGCACCUUUAGACAACUUGGCCUGUCCCCAAGUUCCCUCAGAAGAACCAUCAGCAGGCUUUUGCUGCCCCCAAGUACCUUCUGAAGUAGUAUCCGCAUUUUGCUGCCCCCAAGCACCUUUAGAAAUCUCAGGAGACUUUUGCCAUCCCCAACUACCCUGAGAAGUAUUGGCAGGGUUUUCCUCCCCCCAAGCACCUUUAGAAAUCUCAGGGGACUAUUGCUGUCCCCAAGUUCCCUGAGAAGAAGCAUCAAGUGCCUUCUGAAGUAGUAUCGACAUUUUGCUGACCCCAAGAAUGACGGGCAGUAGACUUAUCUUCAGUUUAAAUCUCUAAACUGUUAUGUAAAGCAUAUUCAAACUGUAUUUCUGCAAUCUUCGAUCUUCAGCCAAACUGUUGGCUUCAAAGUUGGCUGAGAAGGGAAAUCCAAGCUCUUACGCAGAGAUUUGGCUCAGCUUUUGCAACAAAGUGGAUUACAAUUCACUGUAUGCUACUGCAGACAUUCCAGAAUGAAUCAAAGCUGAUGAAAGUCUCUUCUACACUAAAUUAACAAGCACAAAUUCCAAAAGCAAAAGCGGAAAACUUAUUCAGCUAAUUUCAUUGUGACAAUUCUAAGUCACCUAUGAUGACCUGGAAAUUGAACUAAGAGGCUGGCGGAAGCAGAAAUUCCAGAAGAAAUUCAACAAGUUUACAAGGAAGUUCAAGCAAAGUUCAGUUACCAGUCCUGUUUAUCUGCCCUCAAAAUUGUAUUCUGUCUCCAAGAACUAUAUUCAGUUGGCAGUCCUGUUCAUUAUACGGGCAUUUGCUCUUUCAGUUUCAGUUUCAUGUCAACUAUAUUCAGUCUCAGUUUCAGUUGGCAGUCCUGUUCAUUACACACAACUACUUAUGUAUAUAAUCACGUACUUUCCUAAACAAUUCACUAACAAUCUUAACUCCCGCAGCAAAGCGCGGGCAACUAUUCCUAGCAAGGUUACUCCCCUUUAAUUAACAAAGUCCAAGCAAACUUUUUUCAUACUGCGCUUAUAUAUAA